GACGAACGCUGGCGGCGUGCUUAACACAUGCAAGUCGAGCGGUAAGGCCCUUUCGGGGGUACACGAGCGGCGAACGGGUGAGUAACACGUGGGUGACCUGCCCUCAGCUCUGGGAUAAGCCUGGGAAACCGGGUCUAAUACUGGAUAUGACUCCAUGACGCAUGUUGUGGGGUGGAAAGCCUUGUGCGGCUGAGGAUGGGCCCGCGGCCUAUCAGCUUGUUGGUGGGGUGANGGCCUACCAAGGCGACGACGGGUAGCCGGCCUGAGAGGGCGACCGGCCACACUGGGACUGAGACACGGCCCAGGACUCCUACGGGAGGCAGCAGUGGGGAAUCUUGCGCAAUGGGCGAAAGCCUGACGCAGCGACGCCGCGUGAGGGAUGACGGCCUGGUGU
rnacentral:rRNA from 1 species